AGGGGCCUACGGGAGGCAGCAGUGGGGAAUAUUGCACAAUGGGGGAAACCCUGAUGCAGCAACGCCGCGUGAGUGAAGAAGUAUUUCGGUAUGUAAAGCUCUAUCAGCAGGGAAGAAGAUGACGGUACCUGAUUAAGAAGCCCCGGCUAACUACGUGCCAGCAGCCGCGGUAAUACGUAGGGGGCAAGCGUUAUCCGGAUUUACUGGUUGUAAAGGGAGCGCAGACGGCAGAGCAAGUCUGGAGUGAA
rnacentral:rRNA from 1 species